GCGGAGGAAAAGAAACCAACAGGGAUUGCCCCAGUAACGGCGAGUGAAGCGGCAACAGCUCAAAUUUGAAAUCUGGUCCCCUUGCGGGGCCCGAGUUGUAAUUUGAAGAGGAUGCUUCUGGCAAGGUGCCUUCCGAGUUCCCUGGAACGGGACGCCGCAGAGGGUGAGAGCCCCGUACGGUAGGACGCCGAGCCUCUGUGAAGCUCCUUCGACGAGUCGAGUAGUUUGGGAAUGCUGCUCAAAAUGGGAGGUAAACCCCUUCUAAAGCUAAAUACCGGCCAGAGACCGAUAGCGCACAAGUAGAGUGAUCGAAAGAUGAAAAGCACUUUGAAAAGAGAGUUAAAAAGCACGUGAAAUUGUUGAAAGGGAAGCGCUUGCGACCAGACUCGCGCCCGUCGGAUCAGCCGUCGCUUGUCGGCGGCGCACUCCGGCGUGGCUCGGGCCAGCAUCAGUUCGCCUCGGGGGGAGAAAGGCGGCAGGAAUGUGGCUCCUCGGAGUGUUAUAGCCUGCCGUGUAAUACCCCCGGGCGGACUGAGGACCGCGCGUAUGCAAGGAUGC
rnacentral:rRNA from 1 species